rnacentral:rRNA from 1 species
AUUCCAGCUCCAAUAGCGUAUAUUUAAGUUGUUGCAGUUAAAAAGCUCGUAGUCGGACUUUGGCUGAGAACGGUCGGUCCGCCGUUAGGUGUGCACUGACUGGUCUCAGCUUCCUGGUGAGGAGGUGUGCUUCACGGCCACUUAGUCACCGUGGUUACUUUGAAAAAAUUAGAGUGUUCAAAGCGGGCUUACGCUUGAAUAUAUUAGCAUGGAAUAACACCAUAGGACUCCUGUCCUAUUUCGUUGGUCUCGGGACGGGAGUAAUGAUUAAGAGGAACAGUUGGGGGCAUUCGUAUUUCAUUGUCAGAGGUGAAAUUCUUGGAUUUAUGAAAGACGAACUUCUGCGAAAGCAUUUGCCAAGGAUGUUUUCAUUG